rnacentral:lncRNA from 15 species
CAAAUAUUUCAUUGUUCUCUUUUUCUAGCAUCCACCAUCGGUCAGAUCUCAGGGCAGUUCCUCAGUGCCACUGUUGGAGGCUCCGUCCUGAUCCCCUGCUCUCUACCAGUUCCUCCACUAAGACUCAGAUGGUUUUACUGGCAGGAGGAAAAGUUCAAUAAGAUUUUGUUUCACUGGGACCCCAAUGGGCAAACAACACCAAUAGCUGAGGAAUAUAAGAACAGAUGCCAAGUCUUCCCUACUGAGUUUAGUUCUGGAAAUAUUUCCAUUAGACUUGACAAUGUUGCUGUUUUAGAUGACAACAAAACAUUCUUUGCCUAUGUUAAUUUAUUGGAUGAGAACAACGUCACCAAACCGUCUGAACGACGUUGCACAUUCACACUGCAGGUUUCAGCUCCCUACCAACAUCUAGUCCUGACUGUUAACAACACAGCUCACAGAGCAACCUGCACAGCACAUGGAGGAUACCCUAAACCUGAACUCAAAUGGAGCGGGGAUGGAGGGACUAAACUGGAACCACAAAAAACCACAAUGACUCGUGAAGCAGACCUCACCUACAACAUCAGCAGCAGAGUCAACAUCACUGGGUUACAGAACGUGACCUGCACAGUUUACAACCCAACUUCAAACCAGACUCUGACUGCAACUAAAGAUGUGUCUCCAGAUGAGGAACCGAAGAGCUACACUGCUUUGGCUGUUGGAUUAGGUGUCGGCCUACCUCUUUCCAUCAUCAUCAUAAUUCUCAUAGUGUACCGCUACAGAAAACAUAUAUGGUGUAUCCAGAAUCCACAAAACCAACAAAACCAACAAAACCAAAGAAAUGUUCCUGAUGCUCAGCCCAACGUGUCAGGACAAAAUCCGGAGAGUAUUCCACUGAGGAGGAGGAAUGGUGGUGCUGAAAGCUCAACUGAUGAAGAUGCAGCUUCUGGUGGAGGUGCUUCUGGAGGUGGUGGUACAGAACAUGACAAAAGCAGUUAAAUGGAGAUUUAAUUGAAUUUUAUUUAUUUAUUUAUCUAGUUAUAUAUUUCCCUCUAUUUUAUUACUUGCUAAAUCAUCUCUUUCUAAUCCGCCCUCCAGUGUUUCCUCUCUGCAAACUGAGGUGAUAGAGUUUCCUUGUUUUAUUGUGGGUGCUGUUAUCAUUGAGUGUUUUAUUGAUUACAGUUAUUACUUUGUGUGUAUGGGGUUGUUUUUAAGGUGUGAACAUUUAGUUUUAUUUUUGUGUAUACUAUCACACACACACACACACACACACACACACACACACACACAUACGCACACACACACACACACACACACACACACACACACACACACACACACACUGUGUGACUAUACAAAUGAAAUAUGAAUCAUAACUGGGAUCAGAACUGGUGCUGGAAGGGAGGCAAAAACAGGAGUUAAAGAACUACAGUAGUUUAAACUGGUAUCAAACUUUUCAGAUGUCCUUUUAAAAAAUAAUGUUACAGAAAGAAACUAACUGAUCAUCACCUCACGUGUGCUUUAUCAAUACCAGGUGCUAUUUUGUACAAAUGUGCAGUUACUUGGGUCCAAAGAACCACAACUGUUUAAAUGGUUAAAUUAAUGGAGCGAAGUCUGCAAGCUAGUUCAGGCAGGUCAACUCGAUCUGCGCUGAUUACACACAUGACAUGCCUUAUUCCAUAAUCACUAACCAAGCGCUCCCUUCCAAUCUGGCGGUCUAUUUAAACUGCACAAUUUCCCAGCUCUCCCUCUGCUCUGUCAAUGCCGCUGUUGCCCUGCAUCUGUAUUGCUGCCUGCUGCGCUGUAAGCCCCCCCACCACCCCAGCAUCCACCUGUAGGCUCCGACUGGGGUUAAAGUAUUUGCACAUCACUCCUCAAUAUCUCUAUGUAAACAUAUCUGUGGGGAGGGAUGAGGUUGGAGCCUAGACGCCAGAAUCUAAAUAUGCUAUAUUGCUCUAAUAAACUUUUCAAACGUGAGUUGGCUGACUGAACUUUAGUUUUUGCUAUAAAUGUCUGACAGUGUCCUUGUUAAUAUGUAACUGUAAACAUUUUAUGUGCUUUAUCUUGAAUUUAAUUUUCAACUUUUAACGUUUUACAACAGUCUGAACCGUAUAACAUUUUUAAGAGAAAUCUGUGCUGUUAUCAUUGAAUGUUUUAUUUAUUACAUUUAUUACCUUUGUUUUUGUGAACAGUGUAUACUAUAGUGUAUGUAACUAUACAAAUAAAGUGUGAGUGAUUGAUUGAUUGAUGUAUUUUAUUGAACCUCUGUAAAAUAGAUGUGUUAUGAUUUAUCUGAUGUCUGACUGCUCUGCUGUGACUCAUCUGAAGUGAAGUGAAGUAGAUCUGGCCAUCACUUCUAGUAACAGCACAACACUGUUCUCAGUCAAUGAGACUACAGCCAUGCUAGCAGCUCUGUGAGGAUGUAGGUAUUUGGUCAUAAAGUGUUGGACAAAUAAAACUUUGACUUGUUUCAAUCAAUCCAAGAGUUGUUAAACUAUUUCAGACAUUAGUCCAGCCCUAAUUGCUGCCUGUCAAUCAGCUCCUAUUAUUCAUCCCCUUUUUUAGCCAUGUUGCUGUGUUCCAAGAAAAUCAGCAAAGACUUACAGGCCUACAGUACAAUUAAUGCAAACGGUGACAAAAAUGAAACCAAAAAAAAAGACGUAUGACAAUGAAUACGUCAUUGCACAAGUUAGGCAUUUCCUAUUUUCCUGUGUAAGUGUAGCCAGUAGUGAUUAGAGAGAGAGAGAGAGAGACAGAGAGAGAGACAGAGAGAGAGAGAGAGAGAGACAGAGAGAGAGACAGAGAGAGAGAGAGAGAGAGAGAGAGAGCGAGACAGAGGGAGGGACAUCACUGAUAUAUAUCUUGCUUGCACGGGAGGAGGAAGAAACACUUCUUUGCAGCUUGACUCAAAACUGUUUCUACCUCAUUGUUGGAUUCAUGAAGCAACUCCUGUCUGCCAUCCUGCCUGGUAAGAUAUUUAUUGAUUUAUUUUAUUACUAAGCCACCUUUAAUCCUCUGAAUCAACUGCUGUUGAAGAUUAACUAAUGCAGAAGGAAAGUUACUGAAGAAGAAUACCUCAAUAGUUUGAUUGUUUUCUGAUGAACUAUCUGCUUCUGUACGUGACAGUGAGCUCUGUGUUGAGACUAACUAUUUUACAUUCAGAGCCAGGAUGGGUUCUUAACCUAUAUAAAUCCACUCAGAGAGACUUGUGUGUUGGGCAAAGGAUAUAAGUUGUCUGCCCUCUGGAGAGAGGUCAGAGAAUACAACCUGUAUGUGUGUUUCUCUCCCUGCUGCAUGACUGCUCAUCAUAUCCAUAUUACUCUAUUCUUCAGAAGCUUAAGUAAGAAAGAUUUCUUCCACUCUGAAUUAAAAGAUUUCAUUUUCAUCAUGACUCCUCCUCCUCCUUACAGUAUGAGACGUUUUUGUCUCCUCUUGCUUAACCCUGAUUCUAACGCGAGCUCUGGAUAUUUCCACACACUUCUUUUUUGUUAGCUUUUAGGAAACUAGUGAGAUCUAAAAAUGAUCAUUAUUCACUGAACUAUAUCAGAGGUAUUUUCUGUAUUUUUACAGGAUUUUUAGAGACUGGAGCACCUUUAUCUUCAUCCUCGAUCGUUUUAUCAUUUAUGAUGUUGUAUCAAGUUUGUCUAUUGUCUGAGUUGUUUGUUGUUAAAAUACUUUUGUUUUACUGUAACCAAAUGUACCUAUGGGUACAAAGAAUGUAACUUAACCUAACUCAUAAAUAUACUACAGCAAAAUCAGUUUCUAUAGUUGAACACAUUUUUAUGAUUAGUCAGUUUUUUACCCACUCGAGUUAAUGAGGGAGAUAGAGGAGUUAUUCUGUUUUAUCUUUGUUUUGCAGUUCAGACAUGUAUUCUACAAUCCUGCUGAUUUUACUUCUAUCUGGUAAGGUAUUUAUUUUGGUAUUCACUCAUUCCCUGAUAGCACAAUAUACUGUAACUAGACACAAUAACUGGUUUGACCUGUUUCAGUUGUAGUAUAUGUAAUAUAUUGGUUUUAUUGUUGUGGAUUAAAUAUGUCUAUGUCAAUGGAAUGGAAACAGUAACAUGUUUUGAUUUUGAAGUUCUGAAUUUGGCUUUGAUUUUUUAAACUCUCAAAAAAAAAAAAAAAAAAAAACAUUUGUAAAUUUGUUAUUUAAAUGAUCUAUUUUUUUUUUAUAUUAUCAUUUGUGUCUCCGGCUUUGUCUGCUGCUGGUACCUGGAUGCUAAUAUUAACAUUACAUCAGCCUUGUAUCUGAUCUUAUAAUAAUAAUACAUUUUAAGACACUUCACUUAAAAACAUAAAAGCAGCAAAACAACAUCAAAUAGUAAAACACUAAAAACACAUUAGACUAAGCUAAACAUUAAAAGCUAUUUUAAAAAGGUGAGUUUUGUCCGAGAUUUGAAUGUUGGAAGGUCAGUGCAGUCACAGAUGUGUUUGGGGAGAGAGUUCCAGAGUGAGGGGGCAGCUACAGAGAAGGCUCUGCCGGCCCAGGUUCGGUGCUUGGUCCUGGGUGGAGGAGUCAGGAGGUUUGCAUCAGAUGAGCGGAGGCUACGGGAUGGAUUGUGACGAUCCAGCAGGUCGGUGAGGAAGGAAGGGGCCUGGUUAUGGAGGGCUUUGUGUGUGAGGAGGAGGAUUUUGAACUGAAUACGUUGAGGGACCGGGAGCCAGUGGAGGUUCUGGAGGACAGGGGUGAUGUGGUCACGGGUGCGGGUGUGAGUGAGCAGACGAGCAGCAGAGUUCUGGAUGUACUGGAGUUUAUUUAAGGUUUUGGAUGGUGUGCCGUAGAGGACGCUGUCUUACUUCAGAAGAUUAAGUGCUCCUUGUUUAGAAAACUGUCCUACUUCUUAAGCUGAAUAAACAUGAGAAAGGAUCAUCUGAAAGCCUCUGCAACGUUCACUCCAAGAUAACUGGUUAGCAGUAAUUAGCUGCUUCUGAUACUGAUAG